rnacentral:rRNA from 1 species
UACGGGGGGAGCAAGCGUUGUUCGGAUUUACUGGGCGUAAAGGGCGCGUAGGUGGUCCAUUAAGCCCGGCGUGAAAGCCCCCGGCUCAACCGGGGAGGGUCGUCGGGGACUGGUGGACUUGAGGGCGGCAGGGGCUGGUGGAAUCCCCGGUGUAGUGGUGAAAUGCGUAGAGAUCGGGGGGAACACCCGUGGCGAAGGCGGCCAGCUGGGCCGACCCUGACACUGAGGCGCGAAGGCGUGGGGAGCGAACGGG